AUGUCACAUCGAGGUAUUGCAGAAAAAAGAAUUCUAAAAUCCAAUCCAAUUUUUUCGUAUCGAUUAAUUUAGAUGAUGGUUAACCGUAUUCUGAAAGGCGGAAAAAAAUCAUCAGCUUAUCAAAUUCUCUAUCGAGCCGUGAAAAAGAUUCAACAAAAAACAAAAACAAAUCCACUAUUAGUUUUAUGUCAAGCAAUACGUAGAGUAACUCCCAAUAUAGGAGUAAAAACAAGACAUAAUAAAAACGAUCGAUGCGGAAAAAUUCGUUAGUUAUUAGAAACAUCCCAAAAGCGUCUGGAUCGAAAUAUGUCGUUCAAAUUAAGUUCUGAAUCAGUAGAUGCUGCCAAAGGUAGUGAAGGUCUCAUAGAGUGGAGUUCCUAA
rnacentral:rRNA from 1 species